AAUACUUAUCUGCGACAGCUAGUGGGUUCCCUUCAGUCACCGGAGGUUUAAGCAGGUCCCUCCGAUCCAUGCGAAGAGACAUUCUCGCUGGGGGGUCGGGGGUCCGCCACAACCUUGUGGGCCAUUUUGGGGGGGCCCCCCAACACCAGAGAGAGCUGGGCCCCACAGGCUGCAGCAGAUGGCCGCCAUUGCUUAAAGUCGUGUCAUGAUUUGCAUCACAUACUACCAUCUGCUUCCCAUCGCGCAGACCAAUUCGUGUAAAGUUUGUAUGGCUGUACCACUACAGCAACGUCGUUAUUAGGUUGUUUCUCGGCGGAGCCCACCCCGCCCGGGCGCGCCGAGGGUCAGGAGACCCUUCCCGCCGAAGCCACAAUUAAAAAGUAUUGUACCACACAAGGUUUAAAAAGGCGUACACUCCGGUAAUUGACCUCCCCCUUUAGGGGGGGCGCGGAGGGAUCAUUACUGAGUUUACGCUCUAUAACCCUUUGUGAACAUACCUAUAACUGUUGCUUCGGCGGGUAGGGUCUCCGUGACCCUCCCGGCCUCCCGCCCCCGGGCGGGUCGGCGCCCGCCGGAGGAUAACCAAACUCUGAUUUAACGACGUUUCUUCUGAGUGGUACAAGCAAAUAAUCAAAACUUUUAACAACGGAUCUCUUGGUUCUGGCAUCGAUGAAGAACGCAGCGAAAUGCGAUAAGUAAUGUGAAUUGCAGAAUUCAGUGAAUCAUCGAAUCUUUGAACGCACAUUGCGCCCGCCAGCAUUCUGGCGGGCAUGCCUGUUCGAGCGUCAUUUCAACCCUCAAGCUCUGCUUGGUGUUGGGGCCCUACAGCUGAUGUAGGCCCUCAAAGGUAGUGGCGGACCCUCCCGGAGCCUCCUUUGCGUAGUAACUUUACGUCUCGCACUGGGAUCCGGAGGGACUCUUGCCGUAAAACCCCCAAUUUCCAAAGGUGACCUCGGAUCAGGUAGCUGCCAGUCC
rnacentral:rRNA from 1 species